CGCAAACUGCAGGGACGGGGAGCGGGGACAGGGGGUGAAAUGGAGCACCCUGAGGUUCGCCCCCAAGUUCGGCGGGUGCCGGUCUCUAAUCCACACGCUGGUGGAGAGGCCGGCUCGUCAGGGACAAGCGCACACCCAGACCUCAUGCCUAAUACCUUGAGCGCGAUCCAGCGCUGGAUCACUGCAGCCGCCACCUCCUGCUGCUCCUUCAGCCUCCGGCCCUGCGAGAACCAAGCCUCAGACUUCCAGCCUGGAGCCCACCGCGUCCCCUGACCUCGGGCUGCUGGGAUUCAUCUCGCGGGACCCCCGGCCUCUGACCUUGUACUUCCGGAAGGCCGUCUGGAUGACUCGAGCCGCCUCGUACAGCUCCCGCUGCUCGUGAUCCGACAGCGUUAGCAGGGCGAAGUCGCUCUCCAUCUUGCCGCUGGCAGAAGCGGACAGAAACUCUGCCCAGGAAGGGGCGGGAGGGACGGCCAGGCGACCACGCUCGAAGGGCAGUUCGCUGCAGGGACAGGGAGAGGGGGUGUCCUGGGGCCCACCAUGAAGCGUGUCCAGCCACAGAGCCCGGAGGGGGACUUGAGAGCCCCUCAGCCGGUACCAGUCUCUUCCUCGGGGGCUGGGGCCCCGGGCCAGAACGGAGCACUGGCUCCAGGGAAGGACCUCCCGCUCCCUGCUUGCCCUGACGAAUCUGGACAUGCUGUCCUGAGCUGGUCACCUGGGCGGGGCUGAGCUGGGGAAAUGGUCCACGUUCUCCAGGUAGCUGGCCAGCCAGGACAUGGUCUCGCUGAGCCCCAGGGCCCCUGUCCGCUCCCUCAUUGGUGCUCCAGCCUCGGGCAGCCCCGUGAAGUCCUCUCGUUUAAUCCGCUCUGGUGUGGCGUCAAUGAUCUGCUUGGCCAGUGAGAUCAUGUCCACCUGCACAGAGGAGACGCUCGGUGAGUCGGGAGCAGUCCCAGCCGCCAGACAUUCCUGCCCCGCCAAGGCCGUCACCAUCGUCCACUUGCUGUCUUGUCAUUCCCCUCACCACCAGACAGGCCUCGGGGAUGGCUGUCCCUGCUCCCCAGUCCUUCUCGGCCACUAUUUACAUAUGCCUGCCAGGCUCCCACUUGAGUUUAUGGCCCUGUGUUGAGACGGCGUGGAAAACGGGACGGGAUAGACCUCCUCCGAACAGCGUGGCAGGAGUGGAACAAAUGAAGGACCUGCCCUUCCAGGCCAACUGCCCGCUGGCCCCCCUGCCUCAUGCCAGCUGACCAACUUGUGCUCCCCACAGGCUCGGCCGUGCCUGCAGCCCCCAGCCCCCUGAGCUCGGUGCCUGCCACCUACCGGACACCCUGCCAGAUGGCUCUAGCUGUGAAGCCGGCGCACUGCCAACUUCAAGCAUUUUGUGCUUCUAGUACUAGGUACCCAGUUAGUCCGUUGGCCUCUCCGAGAUGGGUACCUCCCCAGGUCUUAGCAGAGAAGUGCGCUGCUAGGUUAGAAGAUUCAUUCCUCUGUUCACUCCCGUCUCAAGACUCGCUUCACUUUUGUCCCGUGCAAGCCUCGUCCCCACCCCAGAUCUCUGCCAGACCCGCCAGCUUGUCAGCCUCUGCUCCACACAGCACCCGCUUCCCUCCGUCAGGCUGCUUCCCCCAAAACCUCAUCUCUGCACGGACCAGCAGCUCUUCCAGGCAGCGGGCGAGGCGCACGUGGCCCCGGGACUGUGCCACGGACAGGGGCAGCCGGCCCAGUGAGUCGGGAAUGCUCAGCGCCUGUCUGUUCCAGCGGAAGAGGAGCACGGCGGC